GCCUGCUGAGCCCGCGCCCACCCAGAACUCGCUGGCCUGCGAGUGCAGCGCGCAGCCCCUGUUCCCGCCCGCGCGUCUCCCUCCACAUCUCCGGGCAAGCAAAGGGAGCCGGCUCCAGCCUCGGCCAGCCCAGAGAGUGCCUCCCACAGUGCAGCGGCGGGCUGAAGGGCUGGCUUCUCAAGCGUGGCCAGAGUGGACGCCGAGGCUGAGGAGGCGCCCAGAGUGAGCAAGGGCUGAUAGCACGUUGUCACCUCAAUACCACAGAAAUUGAAAACAGAGAUAAAAGGAGACUACUGUAUAUCAGUUCAAGGUACACAGCAAGAGACAAUAGAAGCAGAGGAUUCAGGGCGAGCUGUUUCUCCAAGGCUAGGGAAGCUACUUGAGGCAUUUGGAGACUUGAUUGAAUGUGCCUUACUUGGAUCACAGAUGAGGGACCUGAAAGUGCAGCCUACCUUGGGCUGUAUACCUCAGGCGAAACAUGAAACACUGGACCAAACACUGAAGGACAUUCUGUUGCUAGAGGGCCCUGCCAAGUGACAACCUUCUAAGAAAAACUCACAGAACUGGAAUUUGGAAGGCAAGUUAUGGUAUCUCAAACGUGUGAGUAAAAACAAACUAAAAAUGAGAACCUAACAAACUAAGUAGUAGUAGAACAAAAGCAGGGGAUUGAGAGUAAGCUCCGCUGUAGACUUUGCUUCACUGUAGGUGGGUUUUGCGUGAGCCGGAUCCAUCUCACCUUGAAAUGGA
rnacentral:lncRNA from 1 species